rnacentral:rRNA from 1 species
GACGAACGCUGGCGGCGGGCUUAACACAUGCAAGUCGAACGGAAAGGCCCUGCUUUUGUGUGGUGCUCGAGUGGCGAACGGGUGAGUAACACGUGAGUAACCUUGCCUUUACUGUGUGAUAACUUCAGGAAACUGCGGAUACUACCUGCUAGGAGCUCCUGCUGCAUGGUGGGGUUUGGAAAGUAUCGGCGGUUGUGGAUGGACUGCCGGCUUAUCAGCUUGUUGGUUGGGUAGUGGCUUACCCAGGGUUUGAUGGGUAGCCGGCAUGAGAGGGUGACCGGCCACCUGGGGACUGAGAGACGGAGCAGACGGCAACGGGAGGCAGCAGUGGGGAAUAUUGCACAGUGGUCGGAAGCCUGAUGCAGCAACGCCGCGUGCGGGAUGACGGCUUUCGGGUGGUAAACCGCUUUAGGCUGUGACGAAGCGUGAGUGACGGUAAUGGGUAAAGAAGCACCGGCUAACUACGUG